AUUGGUCAGGAUGCCUGUUAACGACAGGGCGGGGUGACCCGACGGAAAGUGCAACAGAAAAAAAACCGCCGAAGUUUUUCGGUAAGGGUGAAAAGGUGCGGUAAGAGCGCACCGUUCGACUGGUAACAGUUUGUAGCUAUUGUAAACCCCAUUCGGUGCAAGGCCAAAUAGGGAAAUAAUGACCAGACCAGGGUAGUUUCCGGGUUGGCUGCUUGAACGCAUCGGCGACGGUGCGUCUAGAUGGAUGAUCUCACGCUCAUGUUAAUGAGAUACAGAACUCGGCUUACAGUCUAUCUCAUAAU
rnacentral:RNase_P_RNA from 1 species